rnacentral:sRNA from 1 species
CUACCUUGGCUUUCUGAAGUAGAUCUGUUUACCUUGUCCUUCUAUAUUUUUCUGCCCAUGAGAAGUCCAUUUGCUCAUUUUUAUCCAUAUCCCCACCCAGCUUUAAAUUUCUCCCUCGUCCUCGCUUGGUUUGGCUGUUUGUCAAUGGUUUUCUCUUUUCUCUUCUAAAUUACACAGUUCUCCCGUUACUGGCCCAAGCUCCUUUUCCAUUACCCACUUUGCGCCUUCAGUCCGGGCAGCAUUCUACACAUCCGUUGGAAUCAAGCAGAGAAACGGUAUUUCAUUCCAGGCGGCGAGCUCGCUCUUUCUCCUUUCCUUGAUAUAAGCAUGACGUCUAUCGCUUCUCUCCUUAACCCGGAGCCUGAAUCGAGAGAGAGAUAUCCCCAACAGCUCCCCACGCCGUCCCCCAGCCGCUUUGCAAGAGAGUACCGCCAGUCCCCCCCUCCAAGGCAGAAAAAACAGAAGAUAUCCAAAGAUGCCGCCGUCUUCACUCGGGGUAGAACGCGAGGAGAGUUGAGGUAUCCUCCUUGCGAGUAUCAGAAUCAAGAACUUGCUGAAGCGCAUAGAGAAUUUCAGAUCCAUCCAAUGGGCCAUAUUACGGAGUAUCCAAGGCAUAUUCCAUACAAUAGCGAGAAGAAGUCGUUUUUAGAGAAGAC